GGCCGCCUGGCGAAAUGGCAUCGCGUCUGACUACGAAAACUGCACGACCUCCCGGCAUUGGGAGUGGUAUCAAAAGAUUGCAGGCUAGACCCCUGCGAUGGUCA